rnacentral:misc_RNA from 1 species
GGCGGGUGUGGCCCUUGCCAACGGGUUGAGGAACAGUUUCAACCAACCUCACAUAAGUCUCCUUUUGGGUGAUCUCACCACAAAGGCUACACUUAAGCUUGAAGUAGUAACGGAAGUUAUCAUUAUCACAGCCGCCUUGUGGCUGAAGGUCGGUGAUGUUAUCAAGCUCCGCCUUGAUCAACAGCAUGAACUUCACCAUUUUUCUUUCUGCUCGCUGCUUCGAAUCAAUGCUU